CUUAGGCAUGAUUGCAUUCUGGUUUCUAAGCAUUUAGCUGCAUUAUUACUGGUGGGGAUUGGAGCAGCUGUCCGGCUUGGACUGCUUCUUUGCUUAUCUACUGUUAGUAUCAGCAAUCAUCGCACUUAACGUUACUUUCUCGUACAACGGAAAUUAAAUCUUUUAAUGCUAUGAAUUUUAUCUGUAAUUAGCCAUCUUAUAACUGUAAAUGCACACAUCAACAAAGCGACAAAUUGACAUGUAACCUAGUGCUUCAUAUAUAUUCACUCCUUUGCUUUAUUUAUUUUUUUGUUGGUUCUUUCAGAUGCUUCAAACUACUUUGAAACUCAAGAACCUAAAUUUUCGCAUGAGUCGCCAUCGCGCAUCGAACUCACUGCUGAUUUCACAGCGCAUGAUAAUCCAAAGCCGAAUGUCGAAUGGUUGGACAAGGACAAUAAUCCCAUCACCCCGAUAUCAAAUUUGUAAAUCAACGUUACGAACCGGAAGUGCAAAAUCAAGGAGCUUUUAUUGGCAGCAAUGUGUUAAUUAAAUGUAAUAUUCUGUCGUUUGUUAAGGAAUAUGUAACGGUAAUAUCAUAGCUGUAGGAACCGAAUUUCAAUAUAUAUCCCUCGCUAGAAGGAGGCGAGUAGAAAUUAUAUGUUUAAAUAAUUAAAAGUACAGUGAGGUCACUAUGAGAGAAGUCAUAUAUACAAAAAAUUAUAAUUAAUCCCAAUUAAUCGUUAUGGAAAAAAAGCUCACAACGUGAAUGUCAAGAGCAGUUACUAAAAACCUUCUCUAAAAUCAGCUUGAAGCAUAUUUGUUUAGGAAAUGCCUAAAAAGGAAUAUCAGUAUUAUGUUACAAAAGUUCUAAAAUUCCAACUACUUUCGAAAUUCCAAAAAAAAAGAAUACAAACCCAUGUCAAAAUUUAAUCUACGCAACUAUUUGCAUUUCAUUAGUCUAUAAAAAACAUUUGCAGAUUUAGUGAACCAAAAAAGAGCAGUGAAAAACGCCAAACCAAGAGCGCCAUUCAUCACCAAAGCACAACCAGCCAUCAGCAGUCAACAACAGGUUUCCUCCUCCACGCUACACUUUCAGACUUCCGUCUCCAGCGCUACGAGUUUUGAAAGCUCGGAGUUUCAGUAUGGAACACCCGCACCGACCAAGGGCUUACUCGGCCAUUGUCCAUCUUUCAUCGAGCUAGCUCGCUCCACAUACAAUCCUUGUUGAAAACUUUAUUAUUAUUAUUUGCCGCAACUGACCAAAACUAUUUUAAUACCGAGUCACAUUUGAGUGCCCUGAGUUAUUAGGAAUGCAUUCGUGGAUGAGCGCAUUUAGUUGUAGUUAAGUAUCUAGCGAAAAAAGUUUGACAACGAAUCAACAAAUGAAAGCAGCAGUAAAAUAAAACAAAUGAAUACAUUUUUGCACACCACAUUUCCUUACGGUUUAGUGGACUUUUGCCAAUUCGUUUUAUCGCUUCUUUGUACACAUUUUCUCACAAUCGUUACUCUCUAUUUUUAGAUGGGUAAAAUCAUAUGCUACCGAACGGCGAACUUCUGGUGUACAACAUCACUCGCACCGAUGCGCACAAAGUUUAUCGCUGCCGCUCCCACACAAGUUGACGCAGGACUGCGUUGUGAGCAGCAAUAUGGGCAAAAUUCAAUUGACUGAAAUGCGUGAACUUGUGCCGCCCUUUAUGAAUGAGAAGGCCACAAGUGUGGUGGCACGUUGGGCGAUCCCGUUGUGGCCAUGAGUGGCAUACGUGAACCCGAAGCUAGUCUAUCGCUGACAUACGAAACGACCAAACAACGAGGAGUCCAUUGAGAAUUUGCUUGCAACGGUCGUGCAAAAAUCAAGGAAGGCACGCUAAUUAUAUUCGCAGUCGAUCGGUCCGACAGCGGAGUUCUUCUGCACUGCCACCAACUCGGAAGGCAGCGAAACUUUGGAAGUAAAAAUAGCUGUUAUAUCACCGCUUACUGCCAGCAUCCAACCCACCAUGCAAACAUUGAAUCUUGUCAAAACCGCAAACUUGAUUUGCUGCAUUUCGGGCUUCCCAAAACAGUGUGUUAUUUGGCUCAGUCAGCCACUGCUUUCCGGCGCAUGCGUCCGUCUACUCUCCACAGUGCACAGAGAUGUAUCAGGGUAUUGUGAAAAUGAUGUGGAGUCGGCCCAAGCCACAGCGAAAUUGCGACUAGGAGGUGUGCCAUAUGUGCGCAUGAUGCCGAAGCUAUCUACUGUGGCGGAAAAGUCCUCUUUUCUCAAAUGCCCUGUGGCAGGAUAUCCAAUCGACAGCAUCAUCACAGAGAAAGCUCUGCGUUUGUACCGUCGGUCGGUUUCAAUGUGAAGAAUACCUUGCGAACGAAAUUCUCCUUCUGCGAGCAUUUCCGCUCAACGAGUUUAUUGCAUAUUGUAUAGAGUACGAAUGUGGCAUGCAGCAUGUGAUGGCGUCAGAAUGCCAAUGAAGAAUGUGUUCAAAACGGCUCCCUACUCAUCGAGAAUGUGCAACGUACCGCCGAUCAGGCAACCUAGACUUACAUUGCUCGCAACAAACCCAACUACACGGCGGAACGGACGGUGGAGGUGAAAGUUUUGGUUAUUAAAUGAUAAUUGUUUUCCACGACGACUUUAGUCGAUAAAAGGUGACCAAUUAUAACCGCUGUCGUUUCAUCGCCAGAGCCGCUAGUCGACACGAGGAGCAUGGUGUAUUGAAGAAGUGGCGGUUUCAUCCAUAAACUUAACGAAAGUAAAAAUUUCCAAUAAUUUACGCAAUACGUACUUAGAAACAAAUCAUCCACUUAGAUCGUCAUGGCGCACAAGAAUCAAAACAUAGGAGCUGCAUAAUCUUAAUGACUUGGGUAGUGGCAAUAAGGUUGGUGUGCGAAAUUCGCAUAAGAAAAAUUUAUGCUGAAGCCGAAAAGAAACUCACAGGAAAAGUUAUAAAGAAAGCUACAACUGAUACCAGCUCUCUGCCAAUAAACUGGUUGCUAUAAAUUCUUUUUUGUAGUCCUUCAUUUAAACCCAUAUUAAGAAUAUCAAGGGUUGUAGCGGAAUAAAUGAAAUAUAA